CCUUCUCUUUCUUUUUUAUGGCUGCAUAAUAUUCCAACGUGGGAAUGAACUACAGAGUUCCUGAUGAUGAACACCAGGGUUAUUUCCAAUCUGUUGCAACCAAUAGGCUGUCUCCAUCACUCGCUCACUCACUGUGAACUCCUCGCCCUGUGCAUCAGUCAAGGUUCAGUUAGAGAAGCCGAACCACUAAGGAGGUUCUAACCAGAACCGUGUCGGAAAGAGCAUUCUGGGAAAUGUAGUCCAGCUGAGGCGAGAUGACUCAUGGCAAAGCCCGUCACACCACGCCACUUCUCUGCGCUGAGAAAUCGAGUUCCUCAUCCGUGAGAUGGGAUAGUAACUCAUGGAAUGAAAUGAGAUGAUGCACCUGAAGCGCUUGACACGUCGUCUGGGUUCAAGAAAUGGUUCUUACUGCCCGGGAUCCUACCGCUAAUAAUGGCAAGAGGCGUGAGCUAUCCCCAAAGCCUGUUGCUCUCCCCCCUUCACCGUGCUGCCUCCCUGUGCCGGGCCUGGAAGUAUGGAAACGAGGAGGACAGUUCCUAUCCCCGGACAGAGGGGUAGGCCAGAGGCACGAGUAAGUGUAAUAGGGGACAGGAAAAGGAAAGCGGUCACCGUGAAUGGGACCGCCCACAAGACUGGCACUGAGCUGGAUCCUCUACAGGGAGAAGCGGAGGAGGGACCAGGAUUUUCUGCAUGCCUACUGUGUGCCAGGCACUGUGGGAGGCACUUUACGUGACCAUCACAGGGAGUCAUCACAGCCAAAAAACGAGCUAGGUAGUAUUAUUAUCCCUGCAAUACAGACAAGGGAACUAAGACUCAGAGAGAGUAAGUCCUCGCCCUCGGUCACUGAGUGACCACCUGCCAGAGCCCCCGCGUCCCCGGAGACGGCUAGAAUGGCGGUGGAAGCGGCACCGUGGGGUCAUCCUGGAGGCGGUGGCUCUCCGGAGCUGGCAGCCCGGGCUGGCUCCGCGCCCCGCCAGGCCGGCCUCUGUGCCCGUGUCUGCCCGUGGGCGGCAGGCGCUCUGGUGGCUGCAGUGCCGUGGUGGUGGCAGCGGCGGGCGGCAGCAGGGAGACAGUCACACCUCGCUGUUUUGUAAACUGUUUCUCACAGCUUGUUUGUUCCGGGUUAGGGCUGGAGCGGCACCGUAUGGAAGUGUGACUCAUUGUUUAAUGUGGCAGCUCAUUAGUAGAUCUUGUUGCUGCCUCUGAUUUCUCUGCUCCCGCUAAUUGGAGAGCCCAGUGGGGCCCCAGCUUCCCGUGAAGAACAAGCCAGUCCCCAGGGCUCCAGCCGGCCCUUGCCCCUCCGGCUCCCGAGGAGGCCACCCCACGCGGUGGGCACUGGUAUCAGCCAGGCUGGGUUCAAAUCCCAGCUCAUCCCGGCUGUGUAACCUUGGGCAAGGAGCCUGGUCCGCCCCUCUCUGAGCCCCAGUUUCCCUACCUGGCCGGUGGAGGAAGUAGUGGCCACCUCAUCAGAGUGGGUGGGAGGAAGAGUAACCAUAAAGUCUCCUGGCGCAUA